rnacentral:rRNA from 1 species
UACGGAGGGUGCAAGCGUUGUUCGGAAUCAUUGGGCGUAAAGAGCGUGUAGGCGGCCAAUUAAGUCUGAUGUGAAAGCCCAGGGCUUAACCCUGGAAGUGCAUUGGAUACUGGUUGGCUAGAGGACGAGAGAGGAAGGCGGAAUUCCUGGUGUAGGGGUGAAAUCCGUAGAUAUCAGGAGGAACACCGGAGGCGAAGGCGGCUUUCUGGCUCGUAACUGACGCUGAGACGCGAAAGCGUGGGGAGCAAACAGG